GGCUGCAACUCGCCUACAUGAAGUUGGAAUCGCUAGUAAUCGCGGAUCAGCAUGCCGCGGUGAAUACGUUCCCGGGCCUUGUACACACCGCCCGUCACACCAUGAGAGUUUGUAACACCCAAAGCCGGUGAGAUAACCUUCGGGAGUCAGCCGUCUAAGGUGGGACAGAUGAUUAGGGUGAAGUCGUAACAAGGUAGCCGUAGGAGAACCUGCGGCUGGAUCACCUCCUUUCUAAGGRA
rnacentral:rRNA from 1 species